rnacentral:rRNA from 1 species
UACGGGGGGGGUAAGCGUUGUUCGGAAUUACUGGGCGUAAAGGGCUCGUAGGCGGCCAACUAAGUCGGACGUGAAAUCCCUCAGCUUAACUGGGGAACUGCGUCCGAUACUGGAUGGCUUGGAUUUGGGAGAGGGAUGCGGAAUUCCAGGUGUAGCGGUGAAAUGCGUAGAUAUCUGGAGGAACACCGGUGGCGAAGGCGGCAUCCUGGACCAGCACUGACACUGAGGCACGAAAGCGUGGGGAGCAAACAGG